rnacentral:tRNA from 2 species
GGGCGUUUAGCUCAGCUGGGAGAGCAUCUGUUUGACGUACAGAAGGUCAUAGGUUCGAUCCCUAUAGCGCCCACCA